CGAGUGUUCUGGCCACCCGCCCCCUGCCGCUCACAGCUUUCACCACCAGCAUCCGGCUCCUUCCCGCUCUUCUCCCCGCUCCAGGCGCCUCCCUCCCCCUCAUCGGAUCUGGCCCAGGCUCCGGGAUCCGUGGAAGCAGCUCCCAGCCCAGGCCAUGAUUUCUGGAGAGCUUGACAUUCUCAAAGACUGGUGCUAUGAAGCUACUUACAGCCAGCUGGCCCACCCCAUCCAGCAGGCCAAGGCGCUGGGUCUCCAAUUCCAUUCUCGCAUCCUAGACAUUGACAACAUCGACCUAGCCAUGGGCAAGAUGAUGGAGCAGGGGCCGGUGCUGAUCAUCACCUUCCAGGCACAGCUGGUGAUGGUGGUCAGGAACCCCAAAGGCGAGGUGGUGGAGGGCAACCCGGACGAGGUGCUGCGGAUGCUGUACGUGUGGGCGCUCUGCCGAGACCAGGACGAGCUCAACCCCUACGCGGCCUGGCGGCUCCUGGACAUCUCGGCCUCUAGCACCGAGCAGAUCCUCUGAGUGUAGUGCCCGAGCCAGGGAGCCCCGGGCUGGGUCAUCAGGCACAGAGGCACCGCAACACCACCUGCGGCAACUCCAGACCUCUGGGAACAAGACUGCGGGCUCUGCCCCCAGCUCUGCCAGGACGGCUGCAAGACCAGCUGGCCCGGGAGGGGACAACGGGCUGCUGCGGGUGCGCGGGAGCUGGAGACACUCCCCCCAGGGCCAACCCCUGCCCUGUUGCUCUGCCCUGCAGGGGUCCCGGCGCCUGGUCACCUGGGGUGCACACAGGC
rnacentral:sRNA from 1 species